UACAGAGGUCUCAAGCGUUGUUCGGAUCCAUUGGGCGUAAAGGGUGCGUAGGUGGCGCCAUAAGUCAGGUGUGAAAUCUCGGGGCUUAACUCCGAAACUGCAUUUGAUACUGUGGUGCUUGAGGACUGGAGAGGAGACUGGAAUUCACGGUGUAGCAGUGAAAUGCGUAGAUAUCGUGAGGAAGACCAGUGGCGAAGGCGGGUCUCUGGACAGUUCCUGACACUGAGGCACGAAGGCCAGGGGAGCAAACGGG
rnacentral:rRNA from 1 species